UACGUAGGGGGCAAGCGUUGUCCGGAUUUAUUGGGCGUAAAGAGCGUGUAGGCGGCCAUACAGGUCCGUUGUGAAAACUCGAGGCUCAACCUCGAGACGCCGGUGGAAACCGUAAAGCUAGAGUCCGGAAGAGGAGAGUGGAAUUCCUGGUGUAGCGGUGAAAUGCGCAGAUAUCAGGAAGAACACCCGUGGCGAAGGCGGCUCUCUGGGACGGUACUGACGCUGAGACGCGAAAGCGUGGGGAGCGAACAGG
rnacentral:rRNA from 1 species